ACGAAGUAGCAAUACUUAGUGGCAGACGGGUGAGUAACAUGUAGGUAUCUGCCCUUUGGCCUGGAAUAACACGAGGAAACUUGUGCUAAUACCGGAUAAGUCUUUACGGAGAAAGCUUUAUGCACCAUUGGAUGAGCCUGCACUUGAUUAGUUUGUUGGUGGGGUAAUGGCCUACCAAGACUGUGAUCAAUAGCUGAUUUGAGAGGAUGAUCAGCCACAUUGGGACUGAGACACGGCCCAAACUCCUACGGGAGGCAGCAGUGGGGAAUCUUGCACAAUGGAGGAAACUCUGAUGCAGCGAUGCCGCGUGAGUGAAGAAGGCCCUUGGGUUGUAAAGCUCUUUCGUCGGGGAAGAAAAUGACUGUACCCGAAUAAGAAGGUCCGGCUAACUUCGUGCCAGCAGCCGCGGUAAUACGAAGGGACCUAGCGUAGUUCGGAAUUACUGGGCUUAAAGAGUUCGUAGGUGGUUGAAAAAGUUAGUGGUGAAAUCCCAGAGCUUAACUCUGGAACUGCCAUUAAAACUUUUCAGCUAGAGUAUGAUAGAGGAAAGCAGAAUUUCUA
rnacentral:rRNA from 1 species